GACGAACGCUGGCGGCGUGCCUAAUACAUGCAAGUCGAACGAAGUACAAGAAGCUUGCUUCUUGUAACUGAGUGGCGAACGGGUGAGUAAUACAUAAGCAACCUGCCUUAAUGCCUGGGAUAACAGUUAGAAACGACUGCUAAUACCGCAUAAGCCCACGACCCGGCAUCGGGUUGAGGGAAAAGGAGCAAUCCGCUUUGAGAUGGCCUCGCGUCCGAUUAGCUAGUUGGUGAGGUAACGGCCCACCAAGGCAACGAUCGGUAGCCGGACUGAGAGGUUGAACGGCCACAUUGGGACUGAGACACGGCCCAG
rnacentral:rRNA from 1 species